UACGGGGGGGGCAGGCGUUGUUCGGAAUUACUGGGCGUAAAGGGCUCGUAGGCGGCCAACUAAGUCAGACGUGAAAUCCCCAGGCUCAACCUGGGAACUGCGUCUGAUACUGGAUGGCUUGAAUCCGGGAGAGGGAUGCAGAAUUCCAGGUGUAGCGGUGAAAUGCGUAGAUAUCUGGAGGAAUACCGGUGGCGAAGGCGGCAUCCUGGACCGGCAUUGACGCUGAGGAGCGAAAGCUAGGGGAGCAAACGGG
rnacentral:rRNA from 1 species